GAGGCAAAAUGGCGAAACAAUUGGUUGCUAAUUUUUUCAUAGAUCAAGUUUAUAGAUCAUGUUUAUUCUUAUAUUCCUGUGAUUUCAUAUACCAAAUUGAACUUCGUAAUAUAUAUGCAUACUUGCAUAGGCCUACUGUAAGUCAUUCCAGCAAGUUGACUUAGUGCUCAGUCACUUUCCAUCCCAUAGACCCAUCAUGCUGUCUAAAGCCUAAAACUCAUGUUUGAAGCCCACACUUAGAGGAAUAAAAAUGUAUCGAGAUAAGAUAUUUCCCAGAGGAUCUUUUCUAAAUCUUGCAAUUUUGGUGACGUACCCUGCAACAUCAUGUUUUUUGUUAUGGCUGUUUUUUCUUUGGUUUAGAAGGCAACCCAGCUAAGACUAAGAGUUUCAGUGACAUGAAGAGUGUGAAGUGAAUAACCUGAAACCUGCAAUGUGUAUGUACAUGUACCAGAUCUUUACAUGAAAACAUAUAAUAUGUGCAAACACGAAUGUUAUGAAUUUCGUUUUUGGGGUCAAUGGGUCAAUGGAUUUGGCGCUGGUUGCUGUUACUGGCCUUUUGCGACGUCUUGAUAUCAGUUUGGAAUAAUUGGACUCUGGGGAAUCCUCACUCAUACACGAGGUAACAGUCUUGCAGUCAACAUGUGUGAGGAGUUUUAGAUUCGUUACAUUUUUUGCAUGUCUUCGUUGUAUAUUUGCAUGCAGGUCAACCUGCCGACAGAUCGGCCAGUUUGUCCAGACACGAUAUCCUUCUCGCUUCAAGGUCAAGAGAAACAUUACGUAAAACUGGCAUGCGAUGAAGUAGAGGUUGGGUGAGAAUGACACGUGUUUCAUCAUUAUCAAAAGGUAAAAUAGCCGCAAGGGUAAGCUAUUUGGUAUUCACUUUGAUAUUGGUUUUUGUAGACCCAUCCCCUAACCUGCAGAAGGAAAUACCAGUUUGCAUUUUCUUCAAUCGAAGGUC